rnacentral:rRNA from 1 species
GCGGCAUGCCUUACACAUGCAAGUCGAACGGCAGCGCGGACUUCGGUCUGGCGGCGAGUGGCGAACGGGUGAGUAAUGCAUCGGAACGUACCUUUCAGUGGGGGAUAACGUAGCGAAAGUUACGCUAAUACCGCAUAUUCUGUGAGCAGGAAAGCAGGGGAUCGCAAGACCUUGCGCUGAUGGAGCGGCCGAUGUCAGAUUAGCUAGUUGGUGGGGUAAAGGCUCACCAAGGCGACGAUCUGUAGCGGGUCUUAGAGGAUGAUCCGCCACACUGGAACUGAGACACGGUCCAGACUCCUACGGGAGGCAGCAGUGGGGAAUUUUGGACAAUGGGCGCAAGCCUGAUCCAGCCAUGCCGCGUGAGUGAAGAAGGCCUUCGGGUUGUAAAGCUCUUUCGGCCGGGAAAAAAUCGCUUGGGUUAAUACCCUGAGUGGAUGAUGGUACCGGAAUAAGAAGCACCGGCUAACUACGUGCCAGCAGCCGCGGUAAUACGUAGGGUGCGAGCGUUAAUCGGAAUUACUGGGCGUAAAGCGUGCGCAGGCGGUUUUGUAAGACAGGCGUGAAAUCCCCGGGCUCAACCUGGGAACUGCGUUUGUGACUGCAAGGCUAGAGUAUGGCAGAGGGGGGUGGAAUUCCACGUGUAGCAGUGAAAUGCGUAGAGAUGUGGAGGAACACCAAUGGCGAAGGCAGCCCCCUGGGCCAAUACUGACGCUCAUGCACGAAAGCGUGGGGAGCAAACAGGAUUAGAUACCCUGGUAGUCCACGCCCUAAACGAUGUCAACUAGGUGUUGGGUGGGUAAAACCAUUUGGUACCGUAGCUAACGCGUGAAGUUGACCGCCUGGGGAGUACGGCCGCAAGGUUAAAACUCAAAGGAAUUGACGGGGACCCGCACAAGCGGUGGAUGAUGUGGAUUAAUUCGAUGCAACGCGAAAAACCUUACCUACCCUUGACAUGCCAGGAACUUGCCAGAGAUGGCUUGGUGCCCGAAAGGGAGCCUGGGCACAGGUGCUGCAUGGCUGUCGUCAGCUCGUGUCGUGAGAUGUUGGGUUAAGUCCCGCAACGAGCGCAACCCUUGUCGUUAAUUGCCAUCAUUUAGUUGGGCACUUUAACGAGACUGCCGGUGACAAACCGGAGGAAGGUGGGGAUGACGUCAAGUCCUCAUGGCCCUUAUGGGUAGGGCUUCACACGUCAUACAAUGGUCGGUACAAAGGGUUGCCAAGCCGCGAGGCGGAGCCAAUCCCAGAAAGCCGAUCGCAGUCCGGAUCGCAGGCUGCAACUCGCCUGCGUGAAGUCGGAAUCGCUAGUAAUCGUGGAUCAGCAUGUCACGGUGAAUACGUUCCCGGGUCUUGUACAC